CUAAGGGUACUAGUUAAGCAUAUGAAAAAAUUUAAAAUUUAAAAAGGUUGAAUACACCAAAAUUUCAAUAUUUGAUAACUUAACAAGUGAGCUAAGGGAACUCUUUUAGCAUUUCCGUUUAAAAAAUGGCAUAUAACGCAGCCUUGAGGAAUUCUUAGUCUUGAAUAAAAAAAUCAUCUAAGUUUCCAACAAGUAUUAGUGCUCAAAUCCGAAAAAAUCAAGCAUAACAACCAAGUUAAAAGAACCAGAAAUUCAUAUAUCAAUCAAAAUUAACAAAAAACCACAAAAUUAACUAAAAGCAUAUUAAAAAAAUUAUGCAUACCAAGCACUGCGUUUACCGUUCACACUGUACAUUCUUUUCUCUGAAACACCUAUAAUCCUGAUCAUGAAACCAGGAAACAAAAAUACAAAUCAGACCAAGCUAAACAUAUUUCACCAAAUUAAAAUAACAAAACAACAACUAUCAACAACCAAAUCCAAAGAGAUCAAGGAA
rnacentral:lncRNA from 1 species